UGGGGAAUUUUCCGCAAUGGGGGGAACCCUGACGGAGCAACGCCGCGUGCGGGAGGACGGCCUGUGGGUUGUAAACCGCUUUUCUCUAGGAAGAAGGUCUGACGGUACUAGAGGAAUCAGCAUCGGCUAACUCCGUGCCAGCAGCCGCGGUAAGACGGAGGAUGCAAGCGUUAUCCGGAAUUAUUGGGCGUAAAGCGUCCGUAGGCGGUUUAUCAAGUCAGUUGUUAAAGACUGCAGCUCAACUGUGGGCGAGCAACUGAAACUGAUUAACUAGAGUGCGGUAGGGGUGUGAAAGCCGCCAGCUUAACUGGCGGAGGCCAUCCCAAACUGCUUCACUUGAGGCCUGUAGAGGUAUGUGGAAUUGCCGGUGUAGUGGUGAAAUGCGUAGAGAUCGGCAGGAACACCCAGGGGGAAACCAGCAUACUGGACAGGACCUGACACUCAGGUGCGACAGCGUGGGGAGCGAACCGGAUUAGAUACCCCCGUAGUCC
rnacentral:rRNA from 1 species